CAGAGCCCUCCUCGUAGCAGCUGCCUCCCUAGGCAAUAUAAAAACUAGUAAACAAUUUCACAAAUCUGUUUCUGAUUGCAGCAGGGGCUACAUGUAAACCGGUUUUGGGCGGCUAAGCGCUGACCCCAGCGCUGGAUGAUAACCCGCCUCGCCUCUACGGAACGAAAUGCCAAUGCCGGAGCUUAUCAGUCAGCCAGACGUUAUUUGACUUAUAUAUAUAUAGAGACAAUAUAGAAUACAUAUAGAAGAGAUCGGAAUCUGGAAUCUGCCAACGGCCUGUGACAUAAUUGCGACCGACAAACCGCUGCAAACUCGUAAAAGCACCGAAACACGCCAUAUGUUUAGGUAUUUGGAAGAUGUGGAGGUAUCGAAAGCUUCGCUUUGACCCUAUGGGAUCAGCCCACAACUACGCAAUGCCCAAAGCAACAAUGAGCGGUGCGAACACUAAUUAUUAUUCAAAUUGUAUCAACCUAUUAACAAGAAGUGCUGAAGCAGACGUCUAUUGAAUUUCGCCAUUAGCAGCAACAGCAGCGGGCGAGAAAUUAAUAAAAAUCAACAGACAGCUGGACAAACAAAUGACUAUAUCCAAUCAUCUAUUUGUAUAUAAUUUUCAGAUUUUAAGGGAUGGAACAGUGCGUAACGAACAGAGCCUAAAAAUCGCAAGGUCUCGAACGAAGGGUAGCGCAAAACACGAGACGAGGACGAGAACGAGAACGCAAACGAAAGCGGACACCCGACAGCAGCAGCAACAGCAAAAGCGAAUAAAAAAAACAGCAACAAAGAUGUCGGCAACACGACAAUGACGACGUUGCCACGUUGCAGUGCCGAUUCGCCUCACGCACGCACACACACACACAUAAAUAUAGAAACUUGGGCCAACAUCUGGCUCUGCUCCUUGGAUUCAGAAUCAGUUCGUUGUCGUCAGUCAGUCAGAUUAGUUCGAUUCCUGCGAAUUCCAAACGCCUUCCGAAGCGCAGCGCACAAAGUACACAAAGUCCACAACAAAUUUGGAACGCACUGCAAAAGG